GUAUGUGAGGCCUAUCUGCUGCUGUUAACCCAAAGAUCACCAGGGUUGAUAUGGCUGGUUUGGCUGGCCAGGCAUCACAGGUGUCCCCUUGUUCCUUCACCUCACAAUCCAUGUACAUCCCUCCGUCCACGUGCAUCGCUCCGGAAGCUGAGAGCACUAAGCGCUAUGUCCAAGAGGACAACCACCCCCAUGGGGGAGGACCCUUUCCUUGAUCAAAGGUAUAUGAGUAGCUGCUGCGCUUCCCUGCUAGAACCUCUGAACAAGCUCUCAAAAUAAACAAUCAGCAUAUAAAAGAUAACUAUAAAAACUGAGGCCGGGGAUUUGGCUCAGUGGCACUGUGUGUGCCUCGUGAG
ensembl:misc_RNA 7SK 7SK RNA